AAAUUGAAGAGUUUGAUCAUGGCUCAGAUUGAACGCUGGCGGCAGGCCUAACACAUGCAAGUCGAACGGUAACAGGAAACAGCUUGCUGUUUCGCUGACGAGUGGCGGACGGGUGAGUAAUGUCUGGGAAACUGCCUGAUGGAGGGGGAUAACUACUGGAAACGGUAGCUAAUACCGCAUAAUGUCGCAAGACUAAAGAGGGGGACCUUCGGGCCUCUUGCCAUCGGAUGUGCCCAGAUGGGAUUAG
rnacentral:rRNA from 1 species